UCCGAGUUGACCCCGGCAGUCUUCGAUGAGUCCCCGCCAUAACGCGCUGGCAACAUCGAACGAGGGUUGCGCUCGUUGCGGGACUUAACCCAACAUCUCACGACACGAGCUGACGACAACCAUGCACCACCUGUGCACGGACCUUGCGGGGGCUCCAUCUCUGGAGCUUUCCGGCAUAUGUCAAACCCAGGUAAGGUUCUUCGCGUUGCAUCGAAUUAAUCCGCAUGCUCCGCCGCUUGUGCGGGCCCCCGUCAAUUCCUUUGAGUUUUAACCUUGCGGCCGUACUCCCCAGGCGGGGCACUUAAUGCGUUAGCGACGGCGCGGAUUCCGUUGGUUGGAACCCACACCUAGUGCCCAACGUUUACGGCAUGGACUAC
rnacentral:misc_RNA from 1 species